rnacentral:lncRNA from 1 species
AUGUAUACAUUAAGUUAUAAUUCACAUACAUCUUGUGCACAUUUCAAAGGUCUGCUAAAAUUGGUCAUUAUCAUCCUAUUUUACAUAUGGAGGAACUGCACUCAUUCUGUAUCAUUAAGAAUCUGCAGUGUGCUGGGCGCUAUGUUAAACCGUGAGAAUGCAAGGAAAUUGUCGUCUGAUCAAAGCCACCCGCAUAAAAGGUUGCAGGAUAAAGGCAGCCACAGAGUGCAGUGGGAUCAAAGACUUCCUGGAGAAGAGGGAAAAUUUUGCAUGUGCUCAGAAGACCUGAGAGGACAGAGUGCCGAGUAUGAGGAGCCUGAGAGGUGA